CGUAAGGCGCCGAAUGAGUCAUUAAAAAAUUAACAUCAUCCGAUCCCUAGUCGGCAUAGUUUAUGGUUAAGACUACGACGGUAUCUGAUCGUCUUCGAUCCCCUAACUUUCGUUCUUGAUUAAUGAAAACAUCCUUGGCAAAUGCUUUUCGCAGUAGUUAGUCUUCAAUAAAUCCAAGAAUUUCACCUCUGACAAUUGAAUACUAAUGCCCCCAACUAUCCCUAUUAAUCAUUACGUCAAUCCUAGAAACCAACAAAAUAGGAUCGAACGUCCUAUUUCAUUAUCCAUGCUAAUGUAUUCAGGUCG
rnacentral:rRNA from 1 species